rnacentral:rRNA from 1 species
UAGGGAAUCUUCCGCAAUGGGCGAAAGCUUGACGGAGCAACGCCGCGUGAGUGAUGAAGGUCUUCGGAUCGUAAAACUCUGUUAUUAGGGAAGAACAAAUGUGUAAGUAACUAUGCCCGUCUUGACGGUACCUAAUCAGAAAGCCACGGCUAACUACGUGCCAGCAGCCGCGGUAAUACGUAGGUGGCAAGCGUUAUCCGGAAUUAUUGGGCGUAAAGCGCGCGUAGGCGGUUUUUUAAGUCAGAUGUGAAAGCCCACGGCUCAACCGUGGAGGGUCAUUGGAAACUGGAAAACUUGAGUGCAGAAGAGGAAAGUAGAAUUCCAUGUGUAGCGGUGAAAUGCGCAGAGAUAUGGGGGAACACCAGUGGCGAAGGCGACUUUCUGGUCUGUAACUGACGCUGAUGUGCGAAAGCGUGGGGAUCAAACAGG